ACAAAAGCAAGCUUUUUUGUGAAAUCUGGUGCUGCCAGAGAGGCCAGCCAUCACCACAAUCCGGUUGUUGCUUGCCAGCAUUCUCGCAAAUCCAGCCCGUUUAGCCGAUCCAAAUCGAGUCAAUCCUCCAGAAACUAUGACAUUGCUUAUUAUGGUUUGCAGUUUUGGGCCACUACUCCUCUUGAGUGCUCAAAUCUGAGAUCUUGAGCUCCUGAGAGGAUUCAUCCUAAACUAAGAACUUUUCCCUUCUCUCACCUCC
rnacentral:lncRNA from 1 species